GACGAACGCUGGCGGCGUGCUUAACACAUGCAAGUCGAACGGAAAGGCCCUGCUUUUGUGGGGUGCUCGAGUGGCGAACGGGUGAGUAACACGUGAGUAACCUGCCCUUGACUUUGGGAUAACUUCAGGAAACUGGGGCUAAUACCGGAUAGGAGCUCCUGCUGCAUGGUGGGGGUUGGAAAGUUUCGGCGGUUGGGGAUGGACUCGCGGCUUAUCAGCUUGUUGGUGGGGUAGUGGCUUACCAAGGCUUUGACGGGUAGCCGGCCUGAGAGGGUGACCGGCCACAUUGGGACUGCGGUACGGCCCAGACUCCUACGGGAGGCAGCGGUGGGGAGUAUUGCACAGUGGGCGGAAGCCUGGUGCGACAACGCCGCGUGCGGGAUGACGGCCUUCGGGUUGUGAACCGCUUUCGCCUGUGACGAAGCGUGAGUGACGGUAAUGGGUGAAGAAGCACCGGCUAACUACGUG
rnacentral:rRNA from 1 species